rnacentral:rRNA from 1 species
AUGUAAAUUCGUUUCACAGAAAUUCAAAGAUUUUCGAUCUCCUCGAAAGAAAAUGAGUUCGAUCAGCAACACCAGUCUCCGCAGCACCAGGACAAUGACCUUCUUUUUACCCAUAACCUUUCUCUACAGCAUUGGAACCAAGAUCAGGCUUGGCUUGGCAUAGUUACGAGGUUCCCGUUCUAUUUAACUAACACUAACUGA